UCCAGUGGGAGGUGGCCCUCUGAUCUACAAAAAAAGCUUCCAGAAAUUAACUUACCAUACUUGGGCGUCUUUGUCUGGUGAUGAUGGACGAAAGACAUGUUGAACAACUCUGGAACCAGGUUGUGGUGCCCCUUGAAUGUGUUGCCGUGAAGGACACAGUAAUUGGAGCUGAACAGGCACCAGAAGUGCUAUUCCAUGAAUGGAAGGGGAGGUGGGGUGCCUUGGUGCUAGUGAAUGGCUCUUGAUUCAAGGUAUUGGAGCUAGUCUCCCCUCCUUAAAUUAACCCAUUACUUAACAUUCCCCAAUCACUGCAUGACCCCUAUGGGUUUAGUGCUUCCCCAUUAUAAUUUAUAGCGAGACAGGUUAGUAAAUUAUUUAUUCAAAAUGACGAACACCCAAGGAUAAUGAAUUCAGAAUAAUAAUCAUACUAUAUUUUGAUUGCAUAUACAAAUUUAUAUUUAAAAAUACAGGCUUUAUACAUUUAUUUUUUUUUUCUGAGAAUUUGUCUUCAGCAUAUGACACUGGUCCCAUCAUAGGUAAGAAUGAAAAGAUUGACAGCAGCAAGCAACUAUGUCUAAACAAACAAGACAACAAAAGAAACUGUGUGCACAAACUGUAUAACAUAUGGGACAUGAGGUUACAAACCUCUUAAGAUAUUCAGAGACCUUAGCAAAGAAUCUUUUAGUACUGCACUCUGUAAAUACAAGACAGGACCCCAAUGGAAAUGAGUCACUUUGUUUGAAUUGUUUGGGUUAUUCUAGGUAAUUUACACUAUGUAUGAUAAUUGUACUUAUGUGUACCUGUGCCUAAAACAACUUACUUAUCAGAGUAUGUGGUACUAGCAUAGAGUCCACAAUCAGUCAGGACAGAGUGGACACCUUGAGUGAUCAAUGUUCUGUGCAAUGAUCUGUAAAGGUGUGCCUGCCUUAUAACCCAAACUCAAUGUGUGAUGAAUUGCAGGGGUGUUCUGGCAACUUGAUAGCUGUGCUAACAAGGCUAAAGGCU